AUUGAACGCUGGCGGCAGGCCUAACACAUGCAAGUCGAACGAGUGGCGGACGGGUGAUUAAUGUCUGGGAAACUGCCUGAUGGAUGGGGCUAACUACUGGAAACGGUAGCUAAUACCGCAUACCAUCGGAUGUGCCCAGAUGGGAUUAGCUAGUAGGUGGGGUAAAGGCUCACCUAGGCGACGAUCCCUAGCUGGUCUGAGCGGAUGACCAGCCAAACUGGAACUGAGACACGGUCCAGACUCCUAGGGGAGGAAGCAGUGGGGAAUAUGGCAAAAGGGGGGCAAGCCUGAUGCAGCCAGGCCGGGGGUAUGAAGAAGGCCUUCGGGUUGUAAAGUACUUUCAGCGGGGAGGCGUUACCCGCAGAAGAAGCACCGGCUAACUCCGUGCCAGCCGCCGGGUAAUAC
rnacentral:rRNA from 1 species